rnacentral:rRNA from 1 species
AGAGUUUGAUCAUGGCUCAGAUUGAACGCUGGCGGCAGGCCUAACACAUGCAAGUCGAGCGGGGUUUUCGGACCUAGCGGCGGACGGGUGAGUAAUGCGUAGGAAGCUACCCGAUAGAGGGGGAUACCAGUUGGAAACGACUGUUAAUACCGCAUAAUGUCUACGGACCAAAGUGUGGGACCUUCGGGCCACAUGCUAUCGGAUGCGCCUACGUGGGAUUAGCUAGUUGGUGAGGUAAUGGCUCACCAAGGCGACGAUCCCUAGCUGGUUUGAGAGGAUGAUCAGCCACACUGGAACUGAGACACGGUCCAGACUCCUACGGGACGCAGCAG